rnacentral:rRNA from 1 species
CUGGUCGGCGGGGUAACGGCCCACCAAGGCGACGAUCCGUAGCUGGUCUGAGAGGACGAUCAGCCACACUGGGAAUGAGACACGGCCCAGACUCCUACGGGAGGCAGCAGUGGGGAAUCUUGCGCAAUGGGCGAAAGCCUGACGCAGCGACGCCGCGUGAGGGAAGAAGGCCUUCGGGUUGUAAACCUCUUUCAGAAGGGACGAAGCCACUCGGGUUAAUAGCCCAGAGGGUGACGGUACCUUCAGAAGAAGCCCCGGCUAACUACGUGCCAGCAGCCGCGGUAAUACGUAGGGGGCAAGCGUUGUCCGGAUUUAUUGGGCGUAAAGAGCGUGUAGGCGGUUUUACAGGUCCGCUGUGAAAACUCGAGGCUCAACCUCGAGCUGUCGGUGGAAACCGUAAGGCUAGAGUCCGGAAGAGGAGAGUGGAAUUCCCGGUGUAGCGGUGAAAUGCGCAGAUAUCGGGAAGAACACCCGUGGCGAAGGCGGCUCUCUGGGACGGUACUGACGCUGAGACGCGAAAGCGUGGGGAGCGAACAGGAUUAGAUACCCUGGUAGUCCACGCCGUAAACGAUGGGUGCUAGGUGUGGGGGGUGUCGACUCCCCCCGUGCCGAAGCUAACGCAUUAAGCACCCCGCCUGGGGAGUACGGCCGCAAGGCUAAAACUCAAAGGAAUUGACG